UCUUCAGUAUUGCAAACAGAGGAGGCCUUCAUCAUCGAGCAUCCUCUUUUAAAGAAGGAGGAAGGACCAGUACGCGUGAAGCUUAAAAAUAAUGCUUCCUUAUUAAAAGCGUCUAGACCUCCUGCUGAAGAACUGACAGGGUCACGUUGACAGGUUUAAAUUUUGAUUUUGCUUUAAAUUUGGAUUAAUUUGGGUCCUGUGCUUAAUAUAUACCUUAAAAGCACAAACAGGUGAAGAAGGACCGUCAGGCUCUGAUGGCGGCUCUGUGUGAGAACGUGCUGACAGUCAACAUGUUACUGGGUGUUUUCUUUCUUCCAGGUGUUGUGGCCACAACACACCUUCGCAUUAAUGCCUUAAAGGAGAUGGAAACACUAAGCGGAUCCUGUUUGCAUAUCCCCUGUACAUUUGAAGCAAUCAAAGGGGAGGCUAGUUUUAACAAUAGUAUUGAAAUCGUUGGAAUUUGGUAUAAAAAUGAUCAUAGCAAUUUAAAGAAUGUAGUUUUUGACAGCAGCAAAUCAGUCAAUGCCUAUCCAAUGAACAUAACUGGAAUCCUCAAGAAAAAUGACUGCACAACUCUAUUUUCUUAUUUAAACACCAGCCAUCAAGAUAAAUACUAUUUCAGAAUCGAGAACGGGAAAUUUAAGGGAACAGCUUAUUGUGAUCCCAUUCAAAUAAAAGUUAAAGGUAAGAAUUUUAUCUUCAUCACUCCAUUAAUUUCAAAUAACAGAAAUCCCAUUAUAAGCAUUUGGCUUUUCACAUGUAUAUUUUCUGGUCAUCUGCUGUCUGCAGUAGAAUGCAAAGCUAUUA